UACGUAGGGGGCAAGCGUUGUCCGGAUUUAUUGGGCGUAAAGAGCGUGUAGGCGGCCUUACAGGUCAGCUGUGAAAACUCGAGGCUCAACCUCGAGACGUCGGUUGAAACCGUAUGGCUAGAGUCCGGAAGAGGAGAGUGGAAUUCCCGGUGUGAGCGGUGAAAUGACGCAGAUAUCGGGAGGAACACCGGUGGCGAAGGCGGUUCUCUGGGCCUUACCUGACGCUGAGGAGCGAAAGCGUGGGGAGCGAACAGG
rnacentral:rRNA from 1 species